UACGUAGGGUGCGAGCGUUAAUCGGAAUUACUGGGCGUAAAGGGUGCGCAGGCGGUCUCGUAAGCUGGGUGUGAAAGCCCCGGGCUUAACCUGGGAAUGGCAUUCAGGACUGCGAGGCUUUGAGUGCGGCAGAGGGAGGUGGAAUUCCACGUGUAGCAGUGAAAUGCGUAGAGAUGUGGAGGAACACCGAUGGCGAAGGCAGCCUCCUGGGCCAGCACUGACGCUCAUGCACGAAAGCGUGGGGGGCAAACAGG
rnacentral:rRNA from 1 species